AUUGAACGCUGGCGGCAUGCUUUACACAUGCGAGUCGAACGGCAGCGCGGGCUUCGGCCUGGCGGCGAGUGGCGAACGGGUGAGUAAUACAUCGGAACGUGCCCAGUAGUGGGGGAUAGCUCGGCGAAAGCCGGAUUAAUACCGCAUACGACCUGAGGGUGAAAGCGGGGGAUCUUCGGACCUCGCGCUCUUGGAGCGGCCGAUGGCAGAUUAGCUAGUUGGUGGGGUAAAGGCCUACCAAGGCGACGAUCUGUAGCUGGUCUGAGAGGACGACCAGCCACACUGGGACUGAGACACGGCCCAGACUCCUACGGGAGGCAGCAGUGGGGAAUUUUGGACAAUGGGCGAAAGCCUGAUCCAGCAAUGCCGCGUGUGUGAUGAAGGCCUUCGGGUUGUAAAGCACUUUUGGCGGGAACGAAAAGGACUGUGCCAAUACCACGGUUCGAUGACGGUACCCGCAGAAUAAGCACCGGCUAACUACGUG
rnacentral:rRNA from 1 species